UGUAGAAACUGUUACAGGAUGAAGACAUACAGGAAAGACAAUUCUUUCCAAUGUGUCUCCUGGUUAUAAAUAGAAAAUAUGCAAUAUGAAAUUUAGAUAAACAGGCUUGCUAUCGUAUAGAGAUAUGCCAUGACUAGACUGCAUAUAAACAAAGCUGACCUUAAAGAUAUAUUCGUUGAAGAACAAAGAAUUUCUGUUUGUGGCAAGUCGACAGUUAGAAACCUUUUCCCGUUUUACUUGACAAAAUGUAAAUAUAUAAUUUAUAUCUAGGAAUUAGCCAGACAUGCUAGAUACAGUAUAUGGAUUUCUAAAGAUAAAUCAUUAUUCUAAUAUUUUCUCAUUCUUGUAUGCAGUCAAAUUUGAGUUCUGUUAGUACAUUUAAAGCAGCUGUGUCACUGUCUGAUGGUGGGGGGCUGGUUUCCAUGAGGGUGCUAAAGAAGUUGAGUUAUCUUUACCUGUCCCUCGUGGCCGCCACCAUGUUCUUCCAGUCAGGCCUCUUAAACUCCUGGGAUUUCAGCAGCCAGAAACCCAUGUCAGCGUUGUACUCUCAUUCAUGCGAGAGAGUACAACACUGAGGCCUAUGGAGGAUUCCAUGUCUUGCAGACAGCGACUAGAAGCGCUUACUGCACCAGAUGGAGUAAAACUCAGCCUGGGACUCAAAUUCUGCUAGAGGACCACUUAUUCCAUGUAAUACUAACAAAAUAGCUCCACGAUUAAUGAAUCAUGGAACAUAAUAUAAAAAAAUAACACUAGAGUAAAAUUUCUGGCUUCAAUCUUCUGGGCCCUAGAUAUAAACAAAAAGCAGAUUGCAGAUAAAAUCCUAAAAAGUACAAUAAUAGGAGAUCUAAUAAUCUGGGGGCAGAAGAUUAAAAAAAGAGUUAGGCCUCCAAAAUAAAUUUAACGAACUACUGCCAAUUUCGGUGAUUGAUGACAACUUAGAAAGCAUUAAUCUAAAUGCUUGGCAAAAUUUGGGUAUUAAGACAAUCAAGGAUUUAUUCUCAGACCAUAAAAUGAAACCCUUCCCUCAGCUAAGACAGGAAUUUGCCAUAUCGUCCAAAGAUAAAUUUAAAUAUCUAAGGAAUAAAGGAUUCAUCCUCACCCAUACCAUCAAGAAUAGGAAAGAAAAUCUAAAAAAAAUCCUCCAACUAUUAGAGCUAAAUAAUUGUAAAAAGUUAAAACCGGUUAUCCUUGGCACCUAGACAAGACUCCAGGGUUCUCUCAGGGCUUAACCCUAAUAUAAACUGAACAAAAAAAAAAGUAUGUACAGUGAUUCCAACCAAAAGAAAAAGUGAAAAUCACUGUAUCACCAGAAUAUGAAAGUAGUUGUAUUGGUAAUAUGUAAUAUCAGGAGUAGUGCAGCUAGGUAAAUGUCUCGACUUAUACACCGAAAAAGCUAAUAAAUAACCACCUAGUAAGGUAUUCUCCUAAGUCUACAGAUAUGUAGCGGCUCGAGGUAACUGGAUCCAGG